rnacentral:rRNA from 1 species
AUAACCGGCGAUUUCCGAAUGGGGAAACCCAGUGUGACUCGUCACACUAUCAUUAACUGAAUCCAUAGGUUAAUGAGGCGAACCGGGGGAACUGAAACAUCUAAGUACCCCGAGGAAAAGAAAUCAACCGAGAUUCCCCCAGUAGCGGCGAGCGAACGGGGAGGAGCCCAGAGCCUGAAUCAGCAUGUGUGUUAGUGGAAGCGUCUGGAAAGGCGCGCGAUACAGGGUGACAGCCCCGUACACAAAAGCGCAUGUGCUGUGAGCUCGAUGAGUAGGGCGGGACACGUGGUAUCCUGUCUGAAUAUGGGGGGACCAUCCUCCAAGGCUAAAUACUCCUGACUGACCGAUAGUGAACCAGUACCGUGAGGGAAAGGCGAAAAGAACCCCGGCGAGGGGAGUGAAAAAGAACCUGAAACCGUGUACGUACAAGCAGUGGGAGCA